AUGAAAGCCAACCCGUCUACAUUUAGAUUCAGUCUGGACUCGUUCCCAAUAAACAGGUCCAAGUUCAACCCCAAAUCAAAAGUCAGUUAAUCACCUCAAACCGAACAAGGGUUAAAAGGCCAUGGCUUCAGUGUCCUCUGCUUCUGUCCCUCUUGUCAGAAUCCCAAGUCAGCUCCCCUGCUUCAGAUUAAAUCAUGGAAAGGUGCACUUUUUGAGCAGAUAUAGCAAAACUAAGACAACCCAUUUGAGUAUUAAUUCAAGUGUUAGAAUGUGUUCUGUUGCUGCUUCUGAUUCACCAGUAUCCACCGCAUUGUAUGAGCAAUCAAAGAGGGUCUGGAUAUGGACUGAAAACAGUCAAGUCAUGACUGCUGCUGUGGAAAGAGGAUGGAAUACUUUCAUUUUCUCUUCACAGAAUCAAGGACUUGUCAAUGAAUGGUCAUCAAUUGCAUUCAUUGAUCCUCUUAUCAUUAAAGAGGGAGGGAUUUUUGAUAGUGCGGGCAAAAGAGUUGCUACAAUUUUUGAGGUUUCAACUCCAGCAGAUUUAAAGAAGGUCCAGUCAGAGGAUGAGCAUACAGGAAAUGUUGUUAUUGAUUUACUGGACUGGCAGGUGAUACCUGCAGAAAAUAUUGUGGCAGAGUUACAAGGCAGUCAAACAACUGCUUUUGCUGUCUCAAAAUCACCUGCUGAAGCGCAACUAUUUCUUGAGGCCUUGGAGCAUGGGCUGGGUGGGGUUGUUUUAAAAGCUGAGGAUGUCAAAGCUGUUCUUGACUUGAAGGAGUAUUUUGACAGAAGGAAUGAAGUGCACAACAGACUGAGCUUGUCUAAAGCCACUGUAACUCAAGUUCAUGCAGUUGGAAUGGGUGAUCGAGUUUGUGUGGAUCUUUGUAGCCUAAUGAGACCUGGUGAGGGACUCCUGGUUGGAUCAUUUGCUAGGGGACUUUUUCUUGUUCACUCAGAAUGUUUGGAGUCAAAUUACAUUGCCAGUAGACCUUUCCGUGUCAAUGCAGGCCCUGUCCAUACCUAUGUUGCUGUCCCUGGAGGUAAAACUAGCUACCUUUCUGAGUUAAAAGCAGGCAAAGAAGUGAUUGUGGUUGACCAAAAGGGAAAACUGAAGACAGCAAUUGUUGGUCGUGUUAAGAUUGAGACCAGACCACUUAUCCUUGUGGAAGCAAAGGUUCUUUAAGGUUAGAAUGUUUAUGUUGAACUCCGUAUUCAUUGUUCUAAAUAGUACUGGACGCUUUUGCCGCAGAGAGAUGCAAAUGAUCAAACUGUAUACAGCAUCCUUCUGCAGAAUGCAGAAACAGUUGCUUUGGUUUGUACACACAAAGGUAACACAAUGCAGAAGACUGCGAUUCCUGUAACCUCGCUAAAAGUGGGGGAUGAAGUUUUGCUAAGACUACAAGGUGCGGCCCGACAUACUGGAAUAGAGAUCCAAGAAUUCAUUCUUGAAAAUUGAACGACCAACAAUGUGUAUUGAAACUUGUUCAUUUCCAGGAUUGUUUCCAUCCAUUUGAAGGCCUUUCAUGUGCUUGCAGUGGACAACACUGUUUUGGCAUUUGACUGCAGGGCAAAUGCUUGUAUCUGUAUAACUCAGGAAUAACUAACCAAUUUAUUAUAAAUUUUUACAA